AGAUCAUCAAGAGCGGUGGAGGGACUGGCCCUAUGAUACCCGGCAACCUACUUUUAAUUAGUAAGGUGCUAAUUCCAGCAUUUCCAAAAGAGAAAUGAUAGAUGAGAG
rnacentral:ncRNA from 2 species